rnacentral:rRNA from 1 species
AUCUACGGCCAUGCCAUCCUGAACAAGCCCGAUCCCAUCCGAUCUCGGAAGCUAAGCAGGGUCGGGCCUGGUUAGUACUUGGAUGGGAGACCACCUAGGAAGACCAGGCGCUGUAGGUG